rnacentral:rRNA from 1 species
CCCACCUGACCCCAUGCCGAACUCAGCAGUGAAACGCCGUAGCGCCGAUGGUAGUGUGGGGUCUCCCCAUGUGAGAGUAGGACACUGCCAGAC